rnacentral:tRNA from 1 species
AACAUAGAAGUAAAAAAAAUUACACUUAGCUUCGACCUAAACUUUAGGAUAAACCCCUCGUGUUU